CUUUGACAUUCCAAGACCUUCAAACAAAUCCACUGGGAGGGGAACACGAUGGUUCUGGUCCCUGUAGAGCUUUCCACACCAGGCUGUUAAGCAGUACCUGUCGACUUGCCGGUAGAACAGAAAUGCCACAGAAACGUCUGCCCCUUUGGCUCCUUGCCACCUCCCAGGGCCCAGGACCUUCCCAACACAGGCGUUUGUGAAAUUUUCUGGAUUGCUGCUGGGAUCUUUUCAUGCUUGAUAUGGAUUUAUUCUUUUGCAUGUAUUUACUGUUAUUUCAAUAAGACUUGGGAAGAAGGAGAGGUAAAGUAGGCCCAAGGUACCCUUUUGACCUUCAGCAUUUAUUUUGAAAAAUUUGAAAUGAACAAAUAUUUCUUCAGUGAACAACUAGGAGACCUUCUGGUUCAGAAUACUUUCACCGGGACUACCUUGACAAGUUCAUGUGUCCAUGAGAUGAGAAUAGAGGAAAAAAAGUACAGGAACAAGUUCCGGCGAUGAGAAGAAGAAUGACAGAGGCAUUCCAUAAUUUAUCUUAAGGCGGCAAUAAUUUGUGUGUCUGGAGACGCGCUUUGCAGGGAAAAGAAUCAAGACUCGCUGAGAGAUGCUUGGUCAGAUCAUUCUUCACUGCUUGGGGGCCGGCAACAGUGCACAGAUCCACAUGACCUCCCGGAAACCGGGCAAGUCCCUACUCCACCAGAGUCGGACUAGACCUCUUGGUCCCAUCAGCCUCUCGUCUAUAGACAUUUUUCCUCGUGGACUGUGGUGGCCCCCUAAACCUGGAAAACUCCUAUUCAUCCUUCAGGACCCAGCCAGUGCCUCCUUCUUACACAGGCCGCAGAAGAGGAGGUCGCUUCUGUUGCAUUUCCCCAGCCUCCGGUCUGGAAGGAGAAACACAAUUCAGCAAGGUUCCCUUCUCCGGCUCCGGCCCCACCUGUCACUAGGGGAGCCUCAGCCGCCCGACCUUCCACGGCUUCCUUCUGUAGUUUUCCUGAGUGUCUCCAGAAGGUGUCCUCUGUGUGCUCUCCUGUGGGCAGCUGUUUAUCUCCCGCAUGGCAUUUGUCAGCGCCCUUCUCCGCGGAGGGGGAGCAGGCUGCGGGGUACCCCCCCCCCCCCGGCUGCUGUCCGUGUCCCAGUGGUGUAACUGAGGCCACAGCACAGCGCCGCCUCCCGCUGCUGCGUGCUGAAAGCCGUGCUUGCUUUCCCACAAUCACGUGGUCUGGCUCCCAGAUCCGUGCUGCAGAACAACUCCGAAAUGGGGACAAUGAGAGUCUAAGAAUACAGAUGGGCUAUGAAUAGCUCCCGCUCACCACGCCUUUCCUGUGGACGAGGAAGGGCGCUAUAAACCCUUCUGUGGAAUCCACGUUGUAAUCCCCGCGUUGAACCCUGGAUUGUUGCUAGUGAGGACCGCAACCCCCAGAGGCUCAGGGAGAUUCAGUAGCUUGCUUCGGUGUUCACAGCUGGUAACGGGCGGCUAGGAGUUUAAACCCGGGUCAGCUUGGCUCCAGAGUCCAGAACCUUCAUGUCCCUGCCUUGGUAUGCACACCAGCUCCCAUGAGACGGAGCGAUGCCCUCCUCAAUGCUUCCCAGUUCCCUUGGCAGUCCAUCAGCUGGAAGGCUCUAUCUUACCUCACAACAGCGCCUGGCUCUUAGUACAAGUUCAACAACGAUUAAAUGAGUGAAGAAAUAAAUAACUAGAGUCUUAGUCUCACCUGACACUCCCACCCCCAACUGAUGGGCCUGGGGAAGGUCUCCAUAUCUAUCCUUCCUCCACUUUCACCAAUCAGGGCAAUAAUAUUGCUUGGAUGGGGUUCUUAUAAAGCAGGCUGAGACGCCAACGCCUAGGAAACAGAACUCCAGUCUCAAAGGGGUCAAUGGCAACAACGUACCAGCCUCACUGGGUUUGGCCCCCCACCUGCUCACACAGGCCUCAGUCCUCUGCAGAGCCCUGCCCAGUCCUUUUGGGAAUCCUGGGAGAAUAUGUCACGUGUUCCAGCAGUGGUCUCCAUGCGGUAUCUUCCGCUUCCCUCCUUUCCCUCUCAAGGCCCUCGCGAUGAUGUCCUCUCUGGGCACGGCCCCCUAGGCCGCCUCACCCUGCACCUGCACCCACCACAGGACUAUUGUCCACCAUGUUCAGGGCCGUCUCCUCUGAGAGUGGCCAGCCUUCACGGUGCCAGAGCCACUCUGUGUCCUGCUUAGACGUGAAAGGGCUGCUACCCUGCUCCGUGUCACACAUUCCAUCCUCUGGGGCUUGACCAGAUGAUGAUAUGAGUGCCCCAUGACUUACCAGGUCCUUUAGAAAUCCUCUCCUCCAGGGGCGCCUGGGUAACACAGUCGGUUGAGCGUCCGACUUCGGCUCAGGUCACGAUCUCA